GACAGGAGGUAUGUGUUGGAAUGCAGCACAGGGCGGGGAGGAUGGUGUCAGCCUGUAGAUAAAGUCAGCUUUUUAUUAAGGUGAGGUAAUGAAAGGAGCAUCUGAAACAAAGAUGAAGGAUCUGGGAUGCUUUAUUUCCAAGAGCUGGCUGGUCUCCCUGGGCGCCCUGAGGAGAGCUCAGGCCGAGCUGUGGAGGAACAAGAAUGCAGAACGAACAGAACACAAGUUUCCAGUUGACAGAGUCCACGGUCAGUUCCUUCACUGAACAUUGCACAAGUGACACAGGCCUCUGGCUGUCCCUGUAAAUAAACAGGGCAGGGGACACCGGAGUGUCCCAGCAGGUCCCUCAAAAUGCCCCUGCCGGCAGCGUGGCCCUUCCUGGAGCCCCACUUGGGAGGCAAGACGCGGUGGGGCCCCUGCGCCUGAGGCGGCCCGGGUGCGGUCAGCAGAGACCUCUGUCCACACCAGCACUCCUUCGGAAUCUGUCCUGUGUUAGUCAGGAAUGUUCUUCAGAUAAGGAACUGAGCAGAAUGCAGGCCCUCAAUCAAAGUUAUCCAAGGACAGCAGGGAUCUUUAUCAUGUGGCAGGCAAGGGCAGGCAUGCUUCUGAGACUCCUCAGCGAGAAACCCGAAAACGACGAUGACACAGAAUGCACAGACUGAAUUGCGGAAGAAUGUGGCCAGGGUACUUUCUCCAGGAUACCUUUGACCUGGAACUGCAAACAACCACUUAUUUCCUUGCCUCGCUCCUCCUAUGAGAAUGACCCCAAGGGACUGCAGAUUACUUAAAGUUAUAUUUAGCAAGUCAUGGAGGCGACUAGUUAGCUCCAGUCAACUAGCCUUCCUUCAGAGGCCUGGAUUCCUUCAUCUUCUCCCUCUGCCUCCCCUCCUAGUCCUUCCUGCUGGCUGACCCUUAACCCCUUCAUGGCUUGAGGAAUCCCCUGCUGGCCCCAAACAUCCAGAACAAGUGCCCAGGUCCCCAUACUUCUCCCUUGGCAGCCUGUAAUUCCGCUCGACAGAGUUCUUUCUCUCUUGGAGCCCGAGUAUUUUUUGCCAUCCAGUGUUUCCUAAUAAAAUGAUGCAAGGACCCUUGGGAAGAGACAUGACUCAAGCUUUUAUCAGCUCACAGACCGAAGAAAUGGGCACAAGUCAUGGCUUUGGAGGAGAGAAGACUGGCUGGAGACUGAAGAAGAUGACUUCUGGCAAAAACGAGAAGACUGAUGACUCCCCAGGAUCCACUUUAGUGGAGCAGAAGGAAUGAAAAAGAGCAUAAACCCACAAGGACAAAGUGAGUGGAAGAGGGCACAGAGGACAGAGUACAUGACUUGGUCUCAGCUGUGAAUAAAGGUCACGAUCGAUCGGGGAAACCCUGAACAUCGA